UCCCUCACCGCACCCUUCGGAACACUGCAUACGUAAUGAGUUCCUUGCCCCCUCCCUUCCACCAAGCUCACUCAAUCGAUCCCAGGUGUGUGGUACAGUAGCUGGUUAAAUAUCUUAGCCAACUGCACGCUACUGCAAGAGGUGGCAGGUACGCUAGCGGUUAAGAGCAUUGGGCCACUAACCGAAAGGUUGCUGGUUUGAAUCACCGAGCCGACUAUGCUCUCUUGAGCAAGGCACUUAAAAUUGCUCUUGAAAGUUGCUCUGGAUAAGAGCAUCUGCUAAAUUGCAAAAAUGUUUUCUCUGUAGGUGAUGGUUUCACUGUAAAGAGAGUGCAAAUUGGGGAGUCGGAGGAGCCAGAAUGGAGGACCUCAUAGGGUCGUUGGAGAGGAAGCUGCAGAGGCCUCUAUUGGCCAAGUCCCGGACACUACCCAGCAUCCCCCAGUCCCCUACCGUGGCCAGGGUCCACCACUCAGACCUGAUUGGUGGGAGUCCUCCUCGCAGGACGUCUUUGGCCAGCAACAACAAUCAGCCCAAGGCCUGCACUUUGCCCCCUGAAGGGGAGCUGUGGCGUCUGGAGGACGACGUGGAGGACGAGGAGGAGGCGGGGCGUCUGUGUGCCGCCGCCCGCCCCCGUUCACAAUCGCCCUUCUCCCACUUCCGCACGCGCACCGCAUACCUGCGCAAGAGCGUCUCUGUGGACGACCCCCUGGGCAUGGUAGACUACUGCUCGUCGGCGCCCCUCGAGGGUAAAGGCAGUCGCGGCGGCAAGGGCAAGCUCAAGAGGAAGUUUGUAAGUACCCAACUUCCUGUCUUUCCUUUCAAAAGAGCAUAGAGAGAUUAUCCCAGCCAACACACAGCCACCACAAAAUGUUGGCUCAAAGUUAUGGGUAUCAAUGUGAUAUCAGUCUUUUUUAGUUCAAAUGACAACCUAGAGAAUUCGGUCCCUUUUCAAAUGACUGUAUUUGUGAUUGUGUCAUCCUUCACUUAACUGUGCACAUGUAAGUGUUUGCCAACGCACACACACACACUGGUUGACC
rnacentral:lncRNA from 1 species